rnacentral:rRNA from 1 species
GACGAACUGUCCUAACGUUGUUCGGAAUCACUGGGCUUAAAGGGCGCGUAGGCGGUCCGACAAGUCAGGGGUGAAAUCCUGCAGCUUAACUGCAGAAGUGCCUUUGAUACUGUCGGUCUGGAGGGAGAUAGGGGUGUGCGGAACUUCCAGUGGAGCGGUGAAAUGCGUUGAUAUUGGAAGGAACGCCGGAGGCGAAAGCGGCGCACUGGAUCUCUUCUGACGCUGAGGCGCGAAAGCUAGGGGAGCAAACGGGG